AAUGGGCGCAAGCCUGAUCCAGCCAUGCCGCGUGAGUGAUGAAGGCCCUAGGGUCGUAAAGCUCUUUCGCCAGGGAUGAUAAUGACAGUACCUGGUAAGGAAACCCCGGCUAACUCCGUGCCAGCAGCCGCGGUAAUACGGAGGGGGUUAGCGUUGUUCGGAAUUACUGGGCGUAAAGCGCGCGUAGGCGGAUUAGUCAGUUAGAGGUGAAAUCCCGGGGCUCAACCCCGGAACUGCCUUUAAUACUGCUAGUCUUGAGUUCGAGAGAGGUGAGUGGAAUUCCGAGUGUAGAGGUGAAAUUCGUAGAUAUUCGGAGGAACACCAGUGGCGAAGGCGGCUCACUGGCUCGAUACUGACGCUGAGGUGCGAAAGUGUGGGGAGCAAACAGGAUU
rnacentral:rRNA from 1 species